GAAUAAUGGGACCUCUGGUAUCCUCACUACUGAUCUUGUGGCUUCAGCUGGGCUGGGUGAUUGGCCAAAGGGUGGAACAGAGCCCUGCAUCCCUGAUCCUCCCGGAGGGAGAAAGCGCCACUUUGAACUGCACUUACACGAGCUCGGUAAAUAACCUACAAUGGUACAGACACCAUCCUGGGACAGGUCCCACAUUCCUGUUUGCAAUGUUUUCAGAUGGGGAUGAGAAACAGCAAGGAAGAUUCAAAGCCACACUGAACACUAAGAGCCGUCACAGUUCCCUGAGCAUCUCAGCCACCCAGCUCAGCGACUCAGCCACCUACUUCUGUGCUGUGAACGCACAGUGA